ACAAAAAGUCCCACACUGAGGUUUUUAAAAGCACUUUGUGACACUGUUUCCCUUCUUGAGACAAGAAAAUCAACUAGCAAAUGCAACAGUCUCUGGGCCGAAGCUUUUUUAGGUGGUGUUUACAAUCUAACUAUGAACACCUCUAAUUAAACAUUCUUUUCCUUUAAGGGAAGAAACUGGAGCCCCUUCAGGGUUGAGCCUGCUUAUUUAGUUGCCUCCAUUUGACUGCUGAACAGCUUCCCCCUUUUUCCCCAGAACCGUGCCUGGAGGAGGAGGCACGUAGAGGUGUGAUGCCUAUGGACUCGCCCGGAGGCAGAGGUGGAUGAUGGCUGGGAGGACACAGGGGAGCUGUACACACCCAGCCCCAGGUUUUACCUUCUCAUUGCUGUACAAAGGCACACUGAAGAGGCAGCGACUGAUCAGGGAAGAACGAGCAAUGCUCCCAAUAUUCACUACGAGAAGGAAGAGUUGGAAGGCGAGUCUCUGCUUAGAUCCUGUUAGAAGGGUCACCGCCCCAGUUCAUUUGUCCAUUGCACAAAAUCCCCACAAGACCCCUAGCUCAGCAUCACAGCAUGUGCAGCAAACUGUGCUGUGCUACUACGUAAAUAAGCGCAGUCACUUUCACAAUUUUUUAAUAUUACAGCUUCUAAACCAAAGAAAAAAGCCCCCACAGAGGCCCUGGUGUGAGUUUUAGCCAUGGGGCUGGAUAAUUCAUGGCUUGAUUUCUCAUAGAGGCUGCUCCUGGCUUGGAGAGACCACCAGAUCCUGUACACAGGCAUGCAGAUGCCAUUGGAGAGGCAGAGCCAUUGGCAUCACCAGCCCCACAGCUGGAAGCAUUGGAAAGAGAAACAGGAGGACUCUACCCUGAGAGAGCAGGACCACCACUGUAAGUCAAGCCACGGCAUUCAUCAAUCACCUUGGAGCUACGUGGGCACUAUGUGGGGCCUUCUGCAAGCCGGUCUAUGGGGCUGGUUGUUCAUCUGAGACAAAGUGGCACUGUUUAAGAGUGUGAAAAGGAAGGAGUGGCAGACAACAUGUGACACUCAGAGACGAUUAUGACUCUAAGGAAGGUUACAAGUGCAAAGUAACUUUUGUAUUUUCUCAAAUUGGUAACAGCAUUAUUUACUAUUGAGGUACUGUGUCCAGUUCUGGUCCCCACAGUUCAAGAAAAAUGCAGACAGAUUGGAGACAGUCCUAGAAAACUUGUCUGAAGAGGAAAGACUGAAUGGGUUAGGUCUUAUCCUCCCAAAGAAGAUUCAGGGGGGCCUCAUCUCAUCACAGAAUUUCAGCACUCAAAGGGCAACUACAAGGACGAAAGAGGUUCUCUGUUUACAAUGAUCCACAAGCAGAAGAGAAGGAGUAAUGGGUACAACUUGCACCAGGAGAGAUUUCAUCUUGAUAUAAAAAGAAUUUGUUUUUUUACAGUGAGAACAGUUGUUCACCUGAACAAUCACCCCAGGGAUGUAGUGGAGUUGACAUCACCAGAUGUUUUCAAGGUGCAACUGGACUAGGUGCUCAGAAGUCUCAUCUGAGGGGACAAAUAAUAAAGCCCCAAUAUUUGAGAUGAUUUGAAGAGGCUACCAAAUGCUUUAAUUCCUGGGGACUUUUAUUUGGGAGUCAUUGCUGGCAAGGUUCUGUUUUGGACAUGGGCUUGUUGUAGAGUUGGGUAGGACAGGCUAGAGCAGCAGCAGAGAAUGAAAUCUUUUGGCCAUUCUCAGCUUCCCUUGAUAGCUCAUUUGCAGCCCCACCAAUACCAGGGCUCUGUGAUUGCUCUAGCAGUUAAUCCUGUUCCACAUCAUGACAAACGUAGCCAGAGGUCAGCUUCAAAACUGACUCAUCAGCUAGGGCUCUCACACAGAAACAGCCAGGACUGAAAGCUUUUGGCAGCCCUCACCUUCCCUUGCCAGCUCGUUAAAAGCCCCAAUAACACUGGGGCUCUGCAGUUGCUCUACUGCCUAACCCUCACCCACCACCUCAGUCUCACCCAGGGUCCAGCUCCAAAGCACACUCCAGCCACCCAGGGCUCCCAACAGAAGUAGCCAGGAGUGAGAGGUGUUGGCAAUCCUCACCUUUCAUUGGCAGACCCUUCACAGUCAAACUUGCAGUGGGUCUCAGUGUUUGCUCUCGCACGUUGUAAUGGUCACUGACAUCAUGACGCACAGGUCCACCCCAAACUCUGCCAGCAAUGGCUCCCUAGAAAAUGUGGCCAAGUCUGAAAGCUUUGGUACCCCUCACCUUUCUUUUGCAGCUCCUUUGCACCCCCACAAAUACUGCAGGGCUCUCUCUUGUACCUAUGUCUAAUUCUCACCCUUGUAUUAACCCUUAUCAGAUCCCAGCUCCAACAGGGAGCCAGCUGUGGCUCUCAUUUUCAUGGCCUAGACCAAAAGCUUUUGAAUGUCCUCACGCUCCCUUGGCUGUUCCUUCAUAGCCCCAUAAACACUGGGGCUUUGCUUUUUGUCCUGCACCUAUAGCUAAGCUUAACCCUCCCACUAGUCCUAACAAGAACCCAGCUAAUGGGACACCCAGCUCUCUCUGGCUCUCAGGCAGAAGUGGCAGCCAUUACCUCACCUCAGCUUUCACAGCCCUCCUAACCCCUUGGUUCUGCUCUUUGUCUUGCACUGCCACUCUUUUCCAGACCCUCAUCCUGCCCUAAGCCCUUGUCCAACAUGAGCCUUGCCAGCAAAGGCUGUCCACCAGGCACCAGCUCUUAGCCAUUUCAGUCUUCAUCAAUUCCCAGUAUACUCAAAAAGGGAGAAUUACCUUUAAGCAUUUCUUAUGGAAAGAGGACACUAGUACAAUUUUUUAAUAUUGGGUUGGAGAUUCCAUGACAGAAAAAUAAUUUUAAAACCUCUACAAUUGACACACCAAAGUAUGCAUAUGCAACUAACAGUAAAAUUAAAACAACCUCCCCAGCCUUCCAGAUUUUCUUGGUAUAGUUUGCUGUCUAAAACUCAGCUCCAUACUAUUUCUUCAAAAUUAUCACUAAAGUAUUUGAAUAGAAUAGUAAAUUUUUAAAAUUCCACAGCAGAAAUCAGGAGGAAGAUGGGAUCCUCUUCCACAGUUUUGAUAUUAAAUUUUAUAAGACUCAAUACUGUGCCCAGGGAUUAAGUAAAAUGCAUAUGAGGAGACAAAAGGGACAGAAAAGUGAAAGUGUAUAUACACACACACAUAUGUAUACACAUACACAUAUAUACAUAUAUACACACACAUAUACACAUAAAAUACACAAAGAUGGAAAAAAUAUUUCUGUAAAGAUUUCGAAGACUUAAAAUAAAGGAGGGAUCAAAGCAAUAGCACAUAACAGUACAAAAACUCCCAAGAAUAUACUUGAUUGCAAUUCUCAUUCCAUAAUUUAACAACAGUUCUAAAUCUGCUUGCAUGAGUCCACAGAAGACACACUGGUAGUGAAAUGAGUAGAAGAGAUCUCCAGAUAAAAGGUACGUUUACUCUUGCAUGUGUUGUAUACAUAUGCCAUACUUAAAAAAUGGGGUUUUUUGCUACUUUUGAAAGACACAGACUGCACUGCAGGUAUUUUGCCUUUCUAGUGUAGCACAAUAGAGUUUUAGUUCCCCUUCUGUAAAAGACCUUGAGGAUUUGUCUCACAGAAUUUUUCACAACAGCAGAAAAACAAAAAAUUAAAAUCUAAAUUAGAAGCUUUCCUAAAGGUUAUGUCAUAAAGAAUGAGCAAUGUUCACGAAUUAUACUGUGAUCUGCAAGUUAUCAGGCAAUGAAAAAACAGAAGUUUACAUAAAUGAAGUGAUUGACAUAUCUAUUAACUGCAAACCCUCUGCAACAAGGGGUGAAAUUAAAAAUCAGCAGUCAAAAGGGCAUAAAUCAGUAGUCAGUCUAAGAGAUGAACCAACCCGGAAAAACACAGUUUUGUGCAGCUGGUCAGAGACCAAUACAGCAAAAUCAGUUAAAGUUCAGUGAUUCAUUAUGAGAUUCUCAAAACUAUCUGAUAAAUUCAGAGUAAAAGUUCCAAGGUCACACCACUGCUUCUGGGAAUCCUAUCUCUGAAACACUUGGUUUUGCUAUCUGUUUCUUCUUCUCCAUACUACUAUCCAGCCACUUCAUACACCAAAGUGUAUACUAUUAGCAUGAGAUUUACUUUCGCAUGUGUAAUUCCUAAAGAACACCAUGAAAAUAAAAAGCCCAAACUUAAAUAAAAUUGGAAUUGCAUUUAUUUUGCCUCAGUUGUAUGGUUUUUUAAGAUUCACUACUACUUAUGUACCUGAAAUACGAUUUUGUUUCACAAUAGCUUCUAUAUCUACAAGUGUGGAAACCACAUACAGUUUUGCA